GAUGCUCCACCUUUAUUCCCAGCAGCUCAAUCUAGCUUUCUGGUGCGAAGCUAGCUCAUCCCUUAGCUCGCUGCAAUAGUACGUUUCCAUGGCCGGCCGGAUCGGAGAAUAUUCAUCGAUAUCUUUGGAGUCACUGUCUAGCUAGCUAGGUCAAAUCUGAAGCUGACGUGGCUAUAAUACGAACUUUCUUCGAAACUUCCUCCCCUCAGCUCAUCAGUACGUAUCUUCAGACCUCAGUUGGCUCAAAGCUUUCACAAUAAGAUUUCAAUCUUCUCGGACGUAGUUCUCCAUCGGCGUCAUUUUCUGGAGAUAUUAUACAGCUACGUACGUACAGCACGGCUGUUCUCGAUCUAUAUCUGCUCAUUUCCUGGUACGUAUGAAUUCACUGAACUGUUUACAGCAUUUCUUCAUUUCCUGACGUCGUAAUUUCCAAAUCAUAUAUAUAUAUAUACCUUUCUUAUCAUCUGGAUUUUGAGCCUUCACUCAUGGCUUCUUAUUAGCUUUCUUUCCGGCCGUAAUUGUUCAUUGUUCGCCGUUUAAUUAUUACUGUACAUCAGUUAUCAGUACGUACAUACUGUUAGUUCUAUCAUUCUGUUGAUCCGAUUAUGUUCUUCCAUAGUUACUCAUCCAAAAUAUGUCGACCACCUUCUCAAAACUCAACCACGAUAGAUAGAAGCACUUCCAUGAUUAUCUUUAUUUGCAUGAGAGCUAGCUAGGCGCCAAGUCAGUCAGAAACAAUAGGUGACAAAAAAGAAACCGUUGUUAGUCGACCGCGUUUUUUCGUCAAAUACGAUGGAAAACGUACUGUCGGCAAAGAGCAUCUCCGAACGUACUGGUUAUAAUAGAUACUGUGGUCGAUCGUUGGCCAUCUCCGACUUGUUCCAUUUGGAAGCUAGCUAGGCAUCUCUGGUAUCCUUCCUCUGGCAGCCGGGCCAUAUAAUUCUUAAUUAUAAUAUAUAAUAAACCGUUGUUGAAUAUAUUCGAUCUCUACGAAAAGAAAAAGAACAAAGAAAAAGCCAUGCCAGGAUCAUAUUCGCAAGGAAAGUAGAAACUAGGACCUGAAGAGGGAAAGGUGAAAGUGAAUAGUGGUAUCCACCACAAACGUACUCAUCCAUUAACCCAGAAACGCAGUCUUACACCAGUGAUCCCAAAUCAUAAUAUCU